rnacentral:rRNA from 1 species
UACGUAGGGUGCGAGCGUUGUCCGGAAUUAUUGGGCGUAAAGGGCUCGUAGGCGGUUUGUCGCGUCGGGAGUGAAAAACACACAGCUUAACUGUGUGCUUGCUUCCGAUACGGGCAGACUAGAGGUAUGCAGGGGGAGAACGGAAUUCCUGGUGUAGCGGUGAAAUGCGCAGAUAUCAGGAGGAACACCGGUGGCGAAGGCGGUUCUCUGGGCAUUACCUGACGCUGAGGAGCGAAAGUGUGGGGAGCGAACAGG